AUUUCGGAGUUGUUAUCUGAACCUUCUCGCCCUAAAAAGUGGGGGGGCUAAGGUAGCAGUAGUUUUCAUCAUAGUCCAUCAGGAUACUCUCUUGAUGUGUACUGGGUGUUAACCUCCUUUUUUUCUGGUACUUGCUAUCCAGCAAUGGGUAGUUUUGUCCAGAUAGUUUACUUUGAAAAAAUUAGAGUGUUCAAAGCAGGCAUAAUUGGCAUCAUGAAUACAUUAGCAUGGGAUAAUAGAAUAUGACAUUGGUCUUAUUUUGUUGGUUUCUAAGGCCAAAGUAAUGAUUGAUAGGGAUAGUUGGGGCCGCUCGUAUUGAGUUGUCAGAGGUGAAAUUCUAGGAUUUACUCAAGACGAACUAAUGCGAAAGCAUUCGGCAAGGAUGUUUUCAUUAAUCAAGAACGAAAGUUGGGGG
rnacentral:rRNA from 1 species